rnacentral:rRNA from 1 species
GACGAACGCUGGCGGCGUGCUUAACACAUGCAAGUCGAACGAGUGGCGAACGGGUGAGUAACACGUGGGUGAUCUGCCUUUCACUUCGGGAUAAGCCUGGGAAACGGAGCCUAAUACCGGAUAGUGCAAGAUGAGCUCGCGGCCUAUGAGCUUGUUGGUGGGGUAAUGGCUACCCAGGAGCGACGGGUAGCCGGCCUGAGAGGGUGUACGGCCACAUUUGUACUGCGAUACGGCCCAGUCUCCAACGGGAGACAGCAGUGGGGAAUAUUGCACAAUGGGCGGAAGCCUGAGUCAGAGACGCCGCGUGGGGCAAGUAGGUCUUCGCGUUGGAAACUCCUUUCGACAGGGACGCGGUACCUGUAUAAGAAGCACCGGCUAACUACGUGCCAGCAGCCGCGGUAAUAC